rnacentral:rRNA from 1 species
AUUAAAGUUGUUGCAGUUAAAAAGCUCGUAGUCGGAUUUUGGGGUGGUAUUUUAAAUUGAGCCCGGUCUGCCGGGAUGGUGUGUACUGGCUCAACCACCCUUCCUUCCAGUUUGCUGCCUUGUGCUCUUAACUGAGUGUGGGGUUUUAGCUCUGGAUCGUUUACUUUGAAAAAAUUAGAGUGUUUAAAGCAGGCCUAAUCAGUGCCUUGAAUAUUGCAGCAUGGGAUAAUAAAAUAGGACUUUGCGCCUAUUUUGUUGGUUUCUAGGUGUAGAGUAAUGAUUAAUAGAAUUUGUUGGGGGUAUUCAUAUUUAAUUGUCAGAGGUGAAAUUCUUGGAUUUAUGAAAGAUGAACUUCUGCGAAAGCAUUUAUCAAGGAUGUUUUCAUUGAUCAAGAACGAAAGUUAGGGGAUCGAAGACGAUCAGAUACCGUCGUAGUCUUAACUAUAAACGAUGCCGACCAGGGAUCGGGAGACGUUACAUGGAUGACUCCCCCAGCACCUUGCGAGAAAACACAAGUCUUUGGGUUCCGGGGGGAGUAUGGUCGCAAGGCUGAAACUUAAAGGAAUUGACGGAAGGGCACCACCAGGAGUGGAGCCUGCGGCUUAAUUUGACCCAACACGGGGAAACUCACCAGGUCCAGACAUAAUAAGGAUUGACAGAUUGAGAGCUCUUUCUUGAUUUUAUGGGUGGUGGUGCAUGGCCGUUCUUAGUUGGUGGAGUGAUUUGUCUGGUUAAUUCCGAUAACGAACGAGACUCUGGCCUACUAACUAGAAGGUCUAUCCUUUAUGGGUGGGCCUCUGCUUCUUAGAGGGACGGGCGGCGUUUAGCCGCACGAGAAUGAGCAAUAACAGGUCUGUGAUGCCCUUAGAUGUUCUGGGCUGCACGCGCGCUACACUGAAGGAAUCAGCAUGUUCUCCCCUCCCUGAAAAGGGCGGGUAACCCGUUGAAACUCCUUCGUGAUGGGGAUUGGAGAUUGUAAUUAUUCUCCAUGAACGAGGAAUUCCCAGUAAGCGCGAGUCAUCAGCUUGCGUCGAUUACGUCCCUGCCCUUUGUACACACCGCCCGUCGCUACUACCGAUCGAGUGAUUUAGUGAGGACUUCGGACUGGUCUUCAAGUUGGCUUCGGCCGGCUCGAAGUUCCGGAAAGAUGCCCAAACUUGAUCACUUAGA